GUAUUUUUACCUCAUAGCUAAUAACACUUUAACAACAAUGUUUUGAUAGGGUAUUAUUUAUCUUGAAACGUUUCACUUCAUAAUGUUAUACAGAAUUAGUCGGAGAGUAAAAUUUAAAUUUUCGUUGUAGCCCACAGCAUUUCACCAAUUGUUUUUUUUCUUUACCUGGUUUGAUUGAAGUCUUCUGUGUUUUGUUGUUCUUGGCGUCUCUGGUUGAGUCUCGUCAGAAUUCAAAUGUCUCUUCAAGUUUCGUUUUGCUGGCAUGAUGAUUUUAACUGAACAUAAUGACAGUGUCUGACCAAUCAAGUGCAUCAGUUCCGUUUUUCACUUUCAGCCAAUCAGAGCUGCGGACGUUCUCAUCCGACAACCGUUGCAUCUGAGCGAGGUCAGGUCAGUCGCGUAAAGCAGGUUUGCAGGUUUGCAGGUUAGGAGGAUACAAUGUUCAAAUUCGCCAUCUACUACUUAUUUGAUAAAACACUUAAAGUGGAAAGUACGUCGCUCAUUCUUGGUAGCGACCAGUACACCCAAGUGGCAACCCAGCCGGACCUUGAUGACGACGCGAACUAGAUUGAAAUAAAAUGGCCCACGAGAAAAGAACCAAACAGGACGGUGCCUGCUAAAGUGCUGUUAUUUGGAGAUUCCUACAAAGAACUUGUGUCGAAGAAGAAUUUCUUCCUUCUCGGUAAAGAUAUCUGGGCCGAGGAGGAAAGCAGGGGUGUGCGCAUGAAAAAGAAAAUGUGUGAGACCGACGUAGUGAAGCCUAAAACGGCCAUACAGGCAAAGCAAACCAGGAUUAAAGAGGCAGCCAGGGACCAGGUGUUACAAAACCUGAAGACUUCCCUGUCUCAGAAGAGGGCCCUGGACACACAAGAUCACCUCUACAGUUCUGAGAAAGAAUCUACACAACGUGUUCAUGGGGGAAAGCGAGCAAAGAUUAACAAGGCAGCAAGACGUGUGCUUUUACCCCUGGCAUCCAGUCCAAGUUCUGAUGAUGCCACAUACAUAGGAAAUCCACAACGGCAU